AAUCUAGAAGAUGCUUCAAAUCAGAUUUAAAUCUACCUGUAGAAAUGUCUAUUUGGUGCAGAUUUCUUUCUGUUUGCAGAAUUAAGAUGCAAGGAUUUGAAUAGAAAUUUACCAAAUGCUAGAUGGUACUAAAAAUCUAGAGUGUUGAAGAAGGAGACAUGGAGUGAUUGCCAAUGAGACAACUAUCCACCAGAGACAAGUGACUUAGAUUUUAGCAAAUAAAGAACCCUGUAUGACUUCAACAAUAAGCAAAACACAAACUGCAUAGCAAGCUAUAUAAGGAUCCUAACAUGACAAAUGUUAAAAUAAUUCAAAUGAGAAAGCCAAUGGUCUAAUUUACAGUGUAACCUGCCUAGUCCAACACAGAGUAUUCCAACAGCCUGCUUGAACCUACACAUUUUCAUAGUCCCAAAAUAUGCCUAUCCGUGCAGAAAAAAACCUGAGUAUUCGAAUGCUCUGCUUAAUCCGACAUUUUUUCAGAUACCCC
rnacentral:lncRNA from 1 species